AACGAACGCUGGCGGCAGGCUUCAGACAUGCAAGUCGAACGAUCCUUUUAGGAUAGUGGCAGACGGGUGAGUAACGCGUGGGAACCUACCCAUUGGUUCGGAAUAACACGGAGAAAUUCGUGCUAAAUACCGGAUACGUCCUUCGGAGAAAGAUUUAUCGCCGAUGGAUGGGCCCGCGUUGGAUUAGCUAGUUGGUGGGGUAACGGCCCACCAAGGCGACGAUCCAUAGCUGGUCUGAGAGGAUGAUCAGCCACACUGGGACUGAGACACGGCCCAGACUCCUACGGGAGGCAGCAGUCAGGAAUAUUGGACAAUGGGCGCAAGCCUGAUCCAGCCAUGCCGCGUGAGUGAAGAAGGCCCUAGGGUUGUAAA
rnacentral:rRNA from 1 species